UACGGAGGGGGCUAGCGUUGUUCGGAAUUACUGGGCGUAAAGCGCACGUAGGCGGCUUUGUAAGUUAGAGGUGAAAGCCCGGGGCUCAACUCCGGAACUGCCUUUAAGACUGCAUCGCUUGAAUCAUGGAGAGGUCAGUGGAAUUCCGAGUGUAGAGGUGAAAUUCGUAGAUAUUCGGAAGGACACCAGUGGCGAAGGCGACUGACUGGACAUGUAUUGACGCUGAGGUGCGAAAGCGUGGGGAGCAAACAGG
rnacentral:rRNA from 1 species